rnacentral:rRNA from 1 species
CAGCCGCCGCGGUAAUACCGGCGGCCCGAGUGGCGGCCACUCUUAUUGGGCUUAAAGCGUCCGUAGCCGGGUUGGUUAGUCUCCCGGGAAAUCUGGCCGCUUAACGGUCAGAAUUCCGGGAGAUACUGCCAGCCUAGGGACCGGGAGAGGCCGAGGGUAUUCCCGGAGUAGGGGUGAAAUCCUAUAAUCCCGGGAGGACCACCUGUGGCGAAGGCGCUCGGCUGGAACGCGUCCGACGGUGAGGGACGAAGGCCAGGGGAGCAAACCGGAUUAGAUACCCGGGUAGUCCUGGCUGUAAACGAUGCGGACUUUGUGUCGGACAAGCUAUGAGCUUGUCCGGUGCCGGAGGGAAACCGUUAAGUCCGCCGCCUGGGGAGUACGGCCGCAAGGCUGAAACUUAAAGGAAUUGGCGGG